rnacentral:rRNA from 1 species
UAAGGGAUAUUGGGUCAAUGGGGGCGGGAGCCUGAACCAGCCAUGCCGCGUGAGGGAAUGAGGCCCUACGGGUCGUAAACCUCUUUUGCCGGGGGAUAACGGGCGCCACGGGUGGCGCCGUGAAGGUACCCGGAGAAUAAGCAUCGGCUAACUCCGUGCCAGCAGCCGCGGUAAUACGGAGGAUGCGAGCGUUAUCCGGAUUUAUUGGGUUUAAAGGGUGCGCAGGCGGGCGUCUAAGUCAGCGGUGAAAGUUCCCGGCUCAACCGGGUCAGUGCCGAUGAUACUGGGGGCCUUGAAUGCGGUCGAGGUAAGUGGAAUUCCUAGUGUAGCGGUGGAAUGCGUAGAUAUUAGGAGGAACAUCAGUGGCGAAGGCGACUUACUGGACUGUAACUGACGCUGAGGCACGAAAGCGUGGGUAGCAAACAGGAUUAGAUACCCUGGUAGU